CCUACGGGAUGCAGCAGUGAGGAAUAUUGGUCAAUGGGAGAGAUCCUGAACCAGCCAAGCCGCGUGAGGGAAGACGGCCCUAUGGGUUGUAAACCUCUUUUGUCGGAGAACAAAACCCGGGACGUGUCCCGGACUGCGUGUAUCCGAAGAAAAAGCAUCGGCUAACUCCGUGCCAGCAGCCGCGGUAAUCAGGAGGAUGCGAGCGUUAUCCGGAUUUAUUGGGUUUAAAGGGUGCGUAGGCGGUCCGUUAAGUCAGCGGGAAAAUUGCGGGGCUCAACCCCGUCGAGCCGUUGAAACUGGCAGACUUGAGUUGGCGAGAAGUACGCGGAAUGCGCGGUGUAGCGGUGAAAUGCAUAGAUAUCGCGCAGAACUCCGAUUGCGAAGGCAGCGUACCGGCGCCAGACUGACGCUGAGGCACGAAAGCGUGGGGAUCGAACAGGAUUAGAUACCCCGAGUAGUC
rnacentral:rRNA from 1 species